AAAAAGAAAGAAAGGAAGGAAGGAAGGAAGGAAGGAAGGAAGGAAGGAAGGAAGGAAGGAAGGAAGAAAAAGAAAGAAAGAAAGAAAGAAAGAAAGAAAGAAAGAAAGAAAGAAAGAAAGAAAGAAAGAAAGAAAGAAAGAAAGAAAAAAAGAAAAAAAGAAAGAAAGAAAGAAAGAAAGAAAGAAAGAAAGAAAGAAAGAAAAAAGAAAGAAAGAACCUUAGGAAAGAAGGAAGAUUUGGGAAAUUAAUUCUGCUUAGGAAAGGCCUUCCAGAUGUGAUCGAUGUGUGGAUUUGUAUUGCUUGACUGUGCUUGCUUCUUAUAAGGGAGAGCUUUUGUGUGUGUGUAUGUGGGGGUGGGAGUCUGAAAGACUGAUAGUGUUAACAAAAAAAGAACAUGAGUGCUUAGAACAGAAUAGAAGGAAGUUCAGUGGGAGACAAAGAGGAUAGCUUUGAAACUCACAAGUCAAAUAAUAUUCAUGUAUUAUUGUUGUUUAUUUAUUUCCAACUCUCUGUGACCCCCUUUGAGGUUUUCUUGGCAAAGAUACUGGAGUGGUUUGCCAUUUCCUUCUCCAGUUCACUUUACAGAUGAGAAAACUGAUGCAAAAAGGGUUUAAGUGCCUUGUCCAGGGCCACAUAGCUAGGAAGUGUCUGGGGCUAAAUUUGAAGUCAGGUCUUCCUGUCUCCAGGCCCAGCACUCUAUCCAUUGUGCCACCUUACCACCAGAGGCUUGGCUAGGAAUUCGAGGCUGGCCCUACCUGUCCCUUUCUUCUUUCUGCCCCCUAUCAAACCUGUGCCUCAGCCAUAACCAGGCACUUCAGCCCAGGCUGGGGCAGUUGUACAUCCUCUCUUCCAUCAUGACUGCUGUUCUCUGGCUUCAUCUCACCACCGCUGAGGAUUCUGGGGAAUGGGCAUCCUUCUGCACCAGAAGGUGGGACUGACUGUCCUUGGGGCAACCUCACCUUCCCUGCAUUGAUUUUAUACAAGGUGAAGUGUCAGCAAGUUAUGGCUCUGUGCAGACUGCCUGCAACCAGCCUUGGCUUUCCUGGCCAGAUUCUGACCAUCCCCUACAAGCUCUCCCUAUUAUACCCGCCUGUGCCCUUGUCCUCCUCAGCCCCUUUCUUCUGGUU
rnacentral:lncRNA from 1 species